rnacentral:rRNA from 1 species
UGGGGAAUUUUGGACAAUGGGCGAAAGCCUGAUCCAGCAAUGCCGCGUGUGUGAAGAAGGCCUUCGGGUUGUAAAGCACUUUUGUCCGGAAAGAAAUCCUUGGCUCUAAUACAGUCGGGGGAUGACGGUACCGGAAGAAUAAGCACCGGCUAACUACGUGCCAGCAGCCGCGGUAAUACGUAGGGUGCAAGCGUUAAUCGGAAUUACUGGGCGUAAAGCGUGCGCAGGCGGUUUGCUAAGACCGAUGUGAAAUCCCCGGGCUCAACCUGGGAACUGCAUUGGUGACUGGCAGGCUAGAGUAUGGCAGAGGGGGGUAGAAUUCCACGUGUAGCAGUGAAAUGCGUAGAGAUGUGGAGGAAUACCGAUGGCGAAGGCAGCCCCCUGGGCCAAUACUGACGCUCAUGCACGAAAGCGUGGGGAGCAAACAGGAUUAGAUACCCUGGUAGUCCACGCCCUAAACGAUGUCAACUGGUUGUUGGGGAUUCAUUUCCUUAGUAACGUAGCUAACGCGUGAAGUUGACCGCCUGGGGAGUACGGUCGCAAGAUUAAAACUCAAAGGAAUUGACGGGGUCAUAGCUGUUUCCU